UCCAGUCUUCUCUCUGUGGUAGACUCAAUCCUCCUGCCUCCUGGAGAGGGUUCUUCACUCGGUCGGCUGUUGUGAAGAAGUUUCUCAUCACCAUGAAACUGAUUCUGCAAUCAGCCAUCACUGUUGCUGUUCUGUGGACGUCCAGAUUCACUACAACCCAGCUUUUCACCCAGUGACCUCUGGAGACCAGCACCAUCUCCAAUACAACUCUGGACAAGCAGACCUCUGGCGCCCCCAGGAGAGGCACACCCCACACUUUGUGAAGCCCUGCCUGGUGUAUGCUGCAGUUUUAAAUGCAUAGAUGGAAACGUUAUCCUGCUACAGCAGCAAACCAAAAUGACUGAAAGCCUGGAGUAAGUGAUUUACAGCAGCCGUACCACUACAGCGAACACGGAGCUGCUCUCCCCAGAAUGUCAGCAGAUGACCCGGAGGUAAACCCACACGGCGGCAGCAGACCUCGCCCCCUGGUGUCGUCUGUACAUGCACAGUUAUGGAUCCAGGAGCCAGAGAGACACAGAGGGGGCAGAUCUGAGAGCAGCUUCUCGCUGUGCAGAUGAAAGCCAGGAACGGCGCUCUCAUCUCAAACAGCUAAGCAGUCCUGAGAGUCCAGCUCUGCCUCUCCUUCCUCUGUCAGCCAAGCAGGAACUGAACACCGUUUGACCUUUCUGGAAAGCUGGACUGUAAUUUUGUUUCUCAUUUGGGGGUAAAAAAAAUAUCAACCCACCUCGAAUGCAGAAAAAAAAAAUCCUCAGAG